CGGUUGAUCCUGCCGGAGGCCAUUGCUAUCGGAGUUCGAUUUAGCCAUGCUAGUCGCACGGGUUUAGACCCGUGGCGAAAAGCUCAGGAACACGUGGCCAAACUACCCUGUGGAUGGGAAUAACCUCGGGAAACUGAGGACAAUUCCCACUAACGCUCCGCCACUGGGAUGUGCGGAGCUGGAAAUGCUUCGGCACCACAGGAUGUGGCUGCGGCCGAUUAGGUUGACGGUGGGGAAACGGCCCACCGUGCCUAUAAUCGGUCCGGGUUGUGAGAGCAAGAGCCCGGAGACGGUAUCUGAGACAAGAUACCGGGCCCUGCCGGGCGCAGCAGGCGCGAAACCUUUACACUGCACGACAGUGCGAUAAGGGAACUCCGAGUGCGAGGGCUUAGAGCCCUCGCUUUUCUACACCGUAAGGUGGUGUACGAAUAAGGGCUGGGCAAGACCGGUGCCAGCCGCCGCGGUAAUACCGGCAGCCCAAGUGAUGGCCGAUAUUUUUGGGCCUAAAGCGUCCGUAGUUGGCCGGACAAGUCCGUUGGGAAAUCCGCGCGCUUAACGCGCGGGCGUCCAGCGGAAACUGUCCGGCUUGGGACCGGAAGACCCGAGGGGUACGUCCGGGGUAGGAGUGAAAUCCUGUAAUCUCGGACGGACCGCCACCGGCGAAAGCGCCUCGGGAAGACGGAUCCGACAGUGAGGGACGAAAGCCAGGGUCUCGAACCGGAUUAGAUACCCGGGUAGUCCUGGCCGUAAACGAUGUCCGCUAGGUGUGACGCAGGCUACGAGCUUGUGUUGUGCCGUAGGGAAGCCGUGAAGCGGACCGCCUGGGAAGUACGUCUGCAAGGAUGAAACUUAAAGGAAUUGGCGGGGGAGCAC
rnacentral:rRNA from 2 species